rnacentral:rRNA from 1 species
GUGGGGAAUAUUGGACAAUGGGCGAAAGCCUGAUCCAGCCAUGCCGCGUGUGUGAAGAAGGUCUUCGGAUUGUAAAGCACUUUAAGUUGGGAGGAAGGGCAGUAAGUUAAUACCUUGCUGUUUUGACGUUACCGACAGAAUAAGCACCGGCUAACUUCGUGUCAGCAGCAGCGGUAAUACGAAGGGUGCAAGCGUUAAUCGGAAUUACUGGGCGUAAAGCGCGCGUAGGUGGUUUUGUAAGUUGGAGGUGAAAUCCCCGGGCUCAACCUGGGAACUGCCUCCAAAACUGCAUGACUAGAGUACGGUAGAGGGUAGUGGAAUUUCCUGUGUAGCGGUGAAAUGCGUAGAUAUAGGAAGGAACACUAGUGGCGAAGGCGACUACCUGGACUGAUACUGACACUGAGGUGCGAAAGCGUGGGGAGCAAACAGGAUUAGAAACCCGAGUAGUCC